AUAUAGCCCUAGGGGAGUCGUCGUUACUGAGAGCUCGAAUUCGAGCGACCCUUGGAACCUGAUCCGGCUAAUACCGGCGUAGGGAAGUGGCUGAAUACACCG
rnacentral:ncRNA from 2 species